rnacentral:piRNA from 1 species
UGAUAGACCCUUUGGCACUGUCCCUGA